rnacentral:rRNA from 1 species
AACGGCCUUGUUCUAAGUAUAAGCAAUUAUACGGCGAAACUGCGAAUGGCUCAUUAAAUCAGUUAUCGUUUAUUUGAUAGUACCUUACUACUUGGAUAACCGUGGUAAUUCUAGAGCUAAUACAUGCUAAAAAUCCCGACUCACGAAGGGAUGUAUUUAUUAGAUUAAAAACCAAUGCCCCUCGGGGCUUAUAGGUGAUUCAUAAUAACUUCUCGAAUCGCAUGGCCUUGUGCCGGCGAUGGUUCAUUCAAAUUUCUGCCCUAUCAACUUUCGAUGGCAGGGUCUUGGCCUGCCAUGGUUUCAACGGGUAACGGAGGGUUAGGGCUCGACCCCGGAGAAGGAGCCUGAGAAACGGCUACUACAUCCAAGGAAGGCAGCAGGCGCGCAAAUUACCCAAUCCCGACACGGGGAGGUAGUGACAAUAAAUACUGAUACAGGGCUCUUUUGGGUCUUGUAAUUGGAAUGAGUACAAUUUAAAUCCCUUAACGAGGAACAAUUGGAGGGCAAGUCUGGUGCCAGCAGCCGCGGUAAUUCCAGCUCCAAUAGCGUAUAUUAAAGUUGUUGCAGUUAAAAAGCUCGUAGUUGAACCUUGGGCCUGGCUGGCCGGUCCGCCUCACCGCGUGCACUGGUUCGGCCGGGCCUUUCCCUCUGGGGAGCCCUAUGCCCUUCACUGGGUGUAGUGGGGAACCAGGACUUUUACUGUGAAAAAAUUAGAGUGUUCAAAGCAGGCCUAUGCUCGAAUACAUCAGCAUGGAAUAAUAGAAUAGGACGUGUGGUUCUAUUUUGUUGGUUUCUAGGACCGCCGUAAUGAUUAAUAGGGACAGUCGGGGGCAUCAGUAUUCAAUUGUCAGAGGUGAAAUUCUUGGAUUUAUUGAAGACUAACUACUGCGAAAGCAUUUGCCAAGGAUGUUUUCAUUAAUCAGGAACGAAAGUUAGGGGAUCGAAGACGAUCAGAUACCGUCGUAGUCUUAACCAUAAACUAUGCCGACUAGGGAUCGGACGAUGUUAUUUUUUGACUCGUUCGGCACCUUACGAGAAAUCAAAGUCUUUGGGUUCUGGGGGAGUAGUCCCCCCG